GCCUUCGUGGUGUAAUGGUUAGCACACUCGACGCGCAUUCGAGACGUUCAGGGUUCGAGUCCCGGCGAGGACA